AAGCCCUCGGCUCAACUGGGGAAUGCGCCCGAAACUGCCGUUCUUGAGUGUCGGAGAGGGUGACGGAAUUCCCGGUGUAGAGGUGAAAUUCGUAGAUAUCGGGAGGAACACCAGUGGCGAAGGCGGUCACCUGGACGAACACUGACGCUGAGACGCGAAAGCGUGGGGAGCAAACAGGAUUAGAUACCCUGGUAGUCCACGCCCUAAACGUUGGGCGCUAGGUGUUGCGGGUAUUGACCCCUGCCGUGGCCAGGGCGAAUUUC
rnacentral:rRNA from 1 species